AUUGAACGCUGGCGGCAGGCCUAACACAUGCAAGUCGAACGGUAGCACAGAGAGCUUGCUCUCGGGUGACGAGUGGCGGACGGGUGAGUAACGUCUGGGAAACUGCCCGAUGGAGGGGGAUAACUACUGGAAACGGUAGCUAAUACCGCAUAACGUCGCAAGACCAAAGUGGGGGACCUUCGGGCCUCACACCAUCGGAUGUGCCCAGAUGGGAUUGGCUAGUAGGUGGGGUAAUGGCUCACCUAGGCGACGAGCCCUAGCUGGUCUGAGAGGAUGACCAGCCACACUGGAACUGAGACACGGUCCAGACUCCUCCGGGAGGCAGCAGUGGGGAAUAGUGCACAAUGGGCGCAAGCCUGAUGCAGCCAUGCCGCGUGUAUGAUGAAGGCCUUCGGGUUGUAAAGUACUUUCAGCGAGGAGGAAGGUGUUGUGGUUAAUAACCACAGCAAUUGACGUUACUCGCAGAAGAAGCACCGGCUAACUCCGUGCCAGCCGCCGCGGUAA
rnacentral:rRNA from 1 species